rnacentral:rRNA from 1 species
GGGGAGCAACCUAGUUGUGCGUGUGUAAAGGUAGCGCCAAGAAAAGCGGUGAUCAUGAUGAAAAUCAAUUCCCGGUACCCGAAACCGACACAGGUGGGCAAGUAGAGAAUACUAAGGGGCGCGAGGUAACUCUCUCCAAGGAACUCGGCAAAAUGACCCCGUAACUUAGGGAGAAGGGGUGCCACCGAGAGGUGGUCGCAGUGAAGAGGCCCAGGCGACUGUUUAGCAAAAACAUAGGUCUCUGCAAACUCGAAAGAGGAGGUAUAGGGGCUGACGCCUGCCCAGUGCCGGAAGGUUAAAGAAGUUGGUCAGUCUUAGGAUAAAGCUAGCGACUGAAGCCCCGGUGAACGGCGGCCGUAACUAUAACGGUCCUAAGGUAGCGAAAUUCCUUGUCGGGUAAGUUCCGACCCGCACGAAAGGCGUAACGAUCUGGGCGCUGUCUCGGAGAGAGGCUCGGCGAAAUAGGAUUGUCUGUGAAGAUACGGACUACCUGCAUUUGGACAGAAAGACCCUAUGAAGCUUUACUAUAGCUUGGAAUUGUGUUCGGGCUUCCUGUGCGCAGGAUAGGUGGGAGGCGAAGAAGGUAUUCUUGUGGGGAUACUGGAGCCAACGGUGAGAUACCACUCUCAGGAGGCUAGAAUUCUAACUUAAUUAAGGACAGUUUCAGGUGGGUAGUUUGACUGGGGCGGUCGCCUCCAAAAAGGUAACGGAGGCGUACAAAGGUUCCCUCAGACUGGUUGGAAAUCAGUCGCAGAGUGCAAAGGCAGAAGGGAGCUUGACUGCGAGAAGUACAGUUCGAGCAGGGUGGAAACACGGUCUUAGUGAUCCGACGGUGCUGUGUGGAAGGGCCGUCGCUCAACGGAUAAAAGUUACUCUAGGAUAACAGGCUGAUCUCCCCCAAGAGUUCACAUCGACGGGGAGGUUUGGCACCUCGAUGUCGGCUCAUCGCAACCUGGGGCGGAAGUACGUCCCAAGGGUUGGGCUGUUCGCCCAUUAAAGCGGUACGUGAGCUGGGUUCAGAACGUCGUGAGACAGUUCGGUCCAUAUCCGAUGUAGGCGUGAGAAUAUUGAGAGGAGCCUUCCUUAGUACGAGAGGACCGGGAAGGACGCACCGCUGGUGUACCUGUUAUGAUGCCAAUUGUAAACGCAGGGUAGCCAAGUGCGGAGAGGAUAACCGCUGAAAGCAUCUAAGUGGGAAGCCCACCUCAAGAUGAGUAUUCUGGUGUAAGGUCACGGGAAGACGACCCGUAAAUAGGCACGAGGUGGAAGUGCAGAGAUGUAUGAAGCCGAAGUGUACUAAUAGACCGUCGGCUUGA